AGAGUUUGAUCCUGGCUCAGGAUGAACGCUAGCUACAGGCUUAACACAUGCAAGUCGAGGGGCAGCAUGGACCCAGCUUUGCUGGGUUUGAUGGCGACCGGCGCACGGGUGAGUAACGCGUAUCCAACCUGCCCUUUACUCCGGGAUAGUCUCCUGAAAGGGAGUUUAAUACCGGAUGUGUUUGUCUUUCCGCAUGGGAGCGACAAAUAAAGAUUAAUUGGUAAAGGAUGGGGAUGCGUCCCAUUAGCUAGUUGGCGGGGUAACGGCCCACCAAGGCGACGAUGGGUAGGGGUUCUGAGAGGAAGGUCCCCCACAUUGGAACUGAGACACGGUCCAAACUCCUACGGGAGGCAGCAGUGAGGAAUAUUGGUCAAUGGGCGAGAGCCUGAACCAGCCAAGUAGCGUGAAGGACGACGGCCCUACGGGUUGUAAACUUCUUUUAUAAGGGAAUAAAGUGCGUUACGUGUAAUGUUUUGUAUGUACCUUAUGAAUAAGCAUCGGCUAAUUCCGUGCCAGCAGCCGCGGUAAUACGGAAGAUGCGAGCGUUAUCCGGAUUUAUUGGGUUUAAAGGGAGCGUAGGCGGGCUUUUAAGUCAGCGGUCAAAUGUCACGGCUCAACCGUGGCCAGCCGUUGAAACUGCAAGCCUUGAGUCUGCACAGGGCACAUGGAAUUCGUGGUGUAGCGGUGAAAUGCUUAGAUAUCACGAAGAACUCCGAUCGCGAAGGCAUUGUGCCGGGGCAGCACUGACGCUGAGGCUCGAAAGUGCGGGUAUCAAACAGGAUUAGAUACCCUGGUAGUCCGCACGGUAAACGAUGAAUGCUCGCUGUCGGCGAUACACUGUCGGCGGCCAAGCGAAAGCGUUAAGUAUUCCACCUGGGGAGUACGCCGGCAACGGUGAAAC
rnacentral:rRNA from 1 species